rnacentral:misc_RNA from 1 species
AAGUCCAACACCAGCUGCACAACAUCAACUUGAAAACUCUCCGGAAUGGAAUCCAUAUGUGAUUGGUCCGGUUGUUGCUGUCUGCACUUUCAUUGUCAUGUUCAGCUACUACAGAAUACUAAAACGACUUUGCUGCUCACUGAAUACUCUAACUUUCUCCAGAAACAGAUUUCAAAUGAGGCGUAUAGGUGAGAAUAGCUUGGGAGAUUCAUCAUUGCAGUAUUACAGCCAUGGACUGG